rnacentral:rRNA from 1 species
GACGAACCGAGCGAACGUUGUUCGGAAUCACUGGGCUUAAAGGGCGCGUAGGCGGACUGCCGCGUCCGGGGUGAAAUCCCACGGCUCAACCGUGGAACGGCCCCGGAUACGGGCGGUCUGGAGGGGGGUAGGGGCACCUGGAACUGUGGGUGGAGCGGUGAAAUGCGUUGAUAUCCACAGGAACUCCGGUGGCGAAGGCGAGGUGCUGGACCCCACCUGACGCUGAGGCGCGAAAGCCAGGGGAGCGAACGGGG